UUCUUAUCCAGAGAGGUCGAGGGUAUGGCCCGAUGACACCUCAGCAACCAUCAAUGUUUUUACCAUUGAAAAGGUGCUAACUCCAGCAAGUUUUAUAAAACUUGAAAGAUAAGAA
rnacentral:ncRNA from 2 species